UUUUUUAAUUGAAAACUUGUAUGAAUGGUUUCAUGAGAUAUUAGCUGUUUCAUAAAAAUUAAAUUGAAUUUUAUAUUUUAGUUAAAAAGCUAAAAUUUAGUUAAAGGACGAGAAGACCCUAUAAAUUUUUAUAUAAAUGUUAAAUUUUAAUUUUUUAGGAAAAGUUUAUUAUUGUUUACGGGUGUAUUUUAUUGGGGUGAUAUUAAAAUUUAAUUAACUUUUAUUUGUUUUUAACAUUGUUAAAUGAAUAGUUGAUCCAGUUUUAUUGAUUAAGAAAUUAAAUUACUUUAGGGAUAACAGCGUAAUUUUUUUUUAAAGCUCUUAUUAAUAAAAGAGAUUGC
rnacentral:rRNA from 1 species